rnacentral:lncRNA from 1 species
AACCAACCACCAGGGCUGGGAACAUGUCUGUUUAAAAUGCUUACCAUGCACAUAUGGAGCCUAAGUUUGACACCUGCAAACAGUGUUCAAGGAAAAGCUAGACAUGGUGGUUUCAACACUGGGAAUGCAUAGACAACCAGAUCCCUGGGACUCACUGGCCAGCCUUGUCUACUCUGAGUUACGGGUCAAUGAGAGACUCUGUCUCCAAGACCCAAGGCAGACAGCACCUAAGCAAAGCACCUCAGGUUGUUCUUGGCCUCACACACAUUCACACAUGUGUGCACCCACCCACCCACCUCCACACCACACCACACCACACACACACACACACACACACACCAAAAACCAAAAACAAGUACUAUCUACUAUCAUCCCACAUACAUGCUUAAGGCCCAUGAGGCCACCCAGAUCCCCUUUAGUGUUGCCCCACUGUGAAUGGCCUGUUUUAGCUCAGAUUCCCCUGAAGCAGUGGCUCUUCUGGCUAAGCAGGGCAGGAAGUCCCUUCCCUGACACGCUGCAAACAGCUACCAUAGCCAUUGGCCCCUUGCAGAACAUGUGAAUAGAGGCAUUCACUUCCCUGCCUGUUUUUGGUCCUUGGCACACUCUCGGGCAAAAUGGGAGAUUUGGGUGUACAGAGAGGCACUGACUAGAGAUGGGUGAGUGUGGCUGUGUGGGAGAUAGGUGAUCUGGCUUUGAUAUUGUGGAAUUCUGUUCUCUGGGCAUGACUUGGUCUUUUGUUUUCUAGAAAAAUCAAAGCAACUAUAUCAACUGCAUGAGACCCUCAGGAGAUCGGACCUAUAAAUGUACCUUCCCAAGAGUUGGAUGGUCCUAAUCCCCUUACCUGAAAUUCCAGGCACAAGCUCCCUCCAGCCAUCUCUCCUGGAGUGUUAGGGUAUACAGGAGAUGGAAGACACCAAUGAUGCAGUUUUCCUGAGUCAUCACCCAUUCUGGAGUGUGACUCUUAGGUGAAGUCAUUAACUUCAAUGCCCAUGUUCCUGGAUGGAACGCCUGACUCACAUUCCUCCACAUCACUCCAAUAAACUCACUGUUUCACAUGCUGGACCUGGAUGGAAUCAUUUACAUAGCAUUUUUGUUGUUGUUGUUCUCUCUGGGGUGAAACAGACUCCCCAGGAAAUGUUAAGCAACAGAUGUGGUCAGGCCUCUCAUGACCAGGGCACUUGAGAAAGACGGAUGCUUCGGGCUCUGGAGGGACUGCUUGUCACCAGAACACAUGGGGGAGGGUUUACAGAGGAUCAGCUCUGUGACACUAAUGAAGGCCAAGUG